GACGAACGCUGGCGGCGUGCUUAACACAUGCAAGUCGAACGGUAAGGCCCUUCGGGGUACACGAGUGGCGAACGGGUGAGUAACACGUGGGUGAUCUGCCCUACACUUCGGGAUAAGCCUGGGAAACUGGGUCUAAUACCGGAUAGGACUCCUGGCUUCAUGGUUGGGGGUGGAAAGCUUUUGCGGUGUGGGAUGGGCCCGCGGCCUAUCAGCUUGUUGGUGGGGUGAUGGCCUACCAAGGCGACGACGGGUAGCCGGCCUGAGAGGGUGACCGGCCACAGUGGGACUGAGAUACGGCCCAGAGUCCUACGGGAGGCAGCAGUGGGGAAUAUUGCACAUGGGCGCAAGCCUGAUGCAGCGACGCCGCGUGAGGGAUGACGGCCUUCGGGUUGUAAACCUCUUUCAGCACCGACGAAGCGCAAGUGACGGUAGGUGCAGAAGAAGGACCGGCCAACUACGUGCCAGCAGCCGCGGUAA
rnacentral:rRNA from 1 species